rnacentral:rRNA from 1 species
UACGUAGGGUGCAAGCGUUGUCCGGAAUUAUUGGGCGUAAAGGGCGCGUAGGCGGUUGGAUAAGUCUUGUGUGAAAUCUUCGGGCUCAACUCGAAGUCUGCACGAGAAACUAUCUGGCUUGAGUGUGGGAGAGGUGAGUGGAAUUCCUGGUGUAGCGGUGAAAUGCGUAGAUAUCAGGAGGAACACCCGUGGCGGAAGGCGGCUCUCGUGGACGUACU